AUUGAACGCUGGCGGCAGGCCUAACACAUGCAAGUCGAACGGUAACAGGAAGAAGCUUGCUUCUUUGCUGACGAGUGGCGGACGGGUGAGUAAUGUCUGGGAAACUGCCUGAUGGAGGGGGAUAACUACUGGAAACGGUAGCUAAUACCGCAUAACGUCGCAAGACCAAAGAGGGGGACCUUCGGGCCUCUUGCCAUCGGAUGUGCCCAGAUGGGAUUAGCUUGUUGGUGGGGUAACGGCUCACCAAGGCGACGAUCCCUAGCUGGUCUGAGAGGAUGACCAGCCACACUGGAACUGAGACACGGUCCAGACUCCUACGGGAGGCAGCAGUGGGGAAUAUUGCACAAUGGGCGCAAGCCUGAUGCAGCCAUGCCGCGUGUAUGAAGAAGGCCUUCGGGUUGUAAAGUACUUUCAGCGGGGAGGAAGGGAGUAAAGUUAAUACCUUUGCUCAUUGACGUUACCCGCAGAAGAAGCACCGGCUAACCCCGUG
rnacentral:rRNA from 1 species